GUAUAGUAACUUCUUUGGAAGAUGGUGAUUGAGCAUUUGGAAAAUGUGACCAGUCCAGAGGAGUUGAUGGUGUAGGCGCAUCGCUUCAAUGCCAGUAGUCUUUGAUUCUUCCAGCAUGCUGACAUUGUCCGCCUGUCUUCCCAAGAGAUUGGCAGGAUUUUUCAGAGGCAAUGCUGAUGAAAUAGUUGCAGGAGUUGAGUUGAGUUGAAUCCCUCAAUGGAUUGUCACCUUGUCGUGGUGAGGGGGCUUACAUGUUCCAAUGAACCCGUGGGCAUAACUACUGGACUCAUGCACUCUCAGGGGGGUCUGCAGGGGAGGUUCCAAACCGAGCACAAUCCGAAGACCUCAACAGCGGAUCAUGCGAAAGAUAACAUGGUACAUGUUACAGAGGUUAUAAAGAUGGAAGAAGCCUGCAAAAGGAUUAAGAAGCCAAUGUUAUCGUCUUAACCAUGCCACUGGUUGGGACCCUCACUCUGUGAAGAUUGUGUGUUGAUUGGCUGUGCACACAUUUAAAAAACUCACGCACAGGCAUCUUCCAAGAACUUGGAAGGCCAUCAUACUCAGAUAACAAGGGGUUGCCUAAGUAACUAGGGGCAGAAACAACAAAUAACAAUUGUUUAUUUUUCCUGCCAUGCGGAACCACCAACCAGCAAUGACAGAAGGAUUUCCCAGCCAACAGAAGCUAAUCAGAGGCUGGUGUAAGUACUCCGAAUAGCUGUCAAAGGGAAUAAAUAUGCUCUGUAUUUUCCAAUGCUUCAUGUGAGUACUUUGAGCACUAGCUCUGUUGAUAUCCUCUUUGGCCACUGGGAAUUAAAGACCUCUUCUCAUUGGUAUGUUUCUGCUUUUACUCUGUCUGUGUCCGAUUUGGCCUUCUGGAAGUAUCUGCGGCACUCCAGUUACUGAAAUCUACGAUUUAGUGGAACUGAAAUCACUUAACACUGUGAGUUGUAGUUUGAUGACUUUUUGAUGGAGCCGGCUAAAGAUCUUGCAAAAACUCCAUGACAUUGAGCCAUGGCAGUAAAAUGCUGUCAAACUGCAUAAAUUCUAUAGUGUAGAUGCAUCCUACAUUUUCUAAUUCUAACUGAAAGCUUAUAUCAUACACUCCUAGUGUAAAUCUCUGCAUCCCCACAGUUAAGCAGUAGUUGUUGUACUGGCCACCAAUCAUUUUUUAACCAAUUGCAGAUCUGUGAAUGUGCUUAUUUCCCCACUUUGUAAUGCAAUAGGAAAUACAAAUAAAAACUUUUCUACAAGCUGCAGUUUGCUCAAUCAAAGCCCUUCAUUGUAUAGGGCUGUUGAUUUUCUGGAGAAGUGGAUAGUGUAGAGAUGGGCAAAUGUAUGAGUUUUGUUUCUAUACUUGAAUUUUCCUGCUUUUCAGACAAACAAAAGUAAACUGAAUUGAAAUCUCCACUUCUUCCUUUGGGAUAGAUCAACCUGUCAGUUUCACUCCUCCCCAUCUUUGUAUUUUGUAGAUUUUGAUAAGUUUUGAUCGGGAACAAUCUGAAAAGAAAUUCUAUCUUGUCUCCUGGGAAAUUUGUAAAUCAUUCUUGGCCGCAGAUGGACACAAAUGUUAAAUACUGGCCUAAAUAGGAUUGAUUCUCAUGUCUAGAGGAAGGCCAGUGAGUCAUUUGACUUAAUGUACAUGUUGAGUCCACCUUCACUAGUUGAUCCAGUGGGUCUACUUUGGUUGAGACUCACAAAGAGGAUUGUGGGCAGUAUUUAUAAACUGAAUAUUUGUGAUUUAUCCUUGCUGUUCCUCUGAAGGAGAUGCAGAGAGAUAAAGUGCAAUAUUAUUUGGGAAGAUAAGCAAAUUCAUUUUGCAAACUCUAAAGAAUGCACACAGUCGCCUCCUGCAGAGCUGAGAUCACAGUAGUGGAAAAUAAUGGCACUGAACACAGUGCUUGAAACAUACUUACAUAAAUAAUACACGUCACUCCUUGCAAAUGCAUCCAUUGAUUCUGAGAUAAUUUUUAGCCAUGGGGAGCAGAUAGGUGAACUGUUUGACCUCCAUAACAAAUUCAGUGAUAGGAGUACUACCUGCAUCCCAAUUCAGAUUCUUCUAAAAAGUUUUGUGGAUUGAAAAAGAGAAUUCUGGUUAACUGUGAAACAAAUUGUGCCAUAUAGUGCCCUUGUGGAAUGUGGCAUUCAGCAGACCCAGCACUAAGCAUGACAUAAUGGCACAUUACUCUGUACUGGAUCCACUCUGAGCUUUUCACCAAGAGAUCAUCAUAUCAAUGUUGUUAUUAGCCAGUGGUCUGGUAUGAGUUCUAUAUAUGGACAUAUGUCUGCAUUUAAUUUAUACCAUACCUUUCUCCUUGCACAGGGGUCAGAUUGUUAUUGAGUACACAACAAAUAAAGGAUGCAAAAAUGGAUUGCAGUAGAAAAAGCUUACGGAGUGGAAGGACCCCUUCUAAUGGAACAUCUUUGUGGUCUCCUGGAUGAAACCAAGGUGUGGCUAUUUCCUCCAGGGAUGCCUGAUGGCCUUCAUAUCAGCUGGGUGAUGAUGCUACUGCAGGUUUUAGAAGAGGAAAUUUCAGAUCAAGCAUAUGAAACUAUUGGCUGUUUAAUGUUUCCAGUUAUCAACUAGAAGGGCUAGUGAGGAGAUUUGCCAUGCUCUGUAACUCUCAGCUAAAGAAAUACAAAAUUGUAAACGUUUCUACAAAAUGAUUGCCUGUUCAGAGUGGCUAAGAGACGCUCAGCAUGAGAAACCAACACUAUUUCUUUCCUUUGUCUCCAACCUGCUAGAGGAAUACUGAUGAACAGCAGUAGGAGACAAUACUACUGAUGCCAACUAGCAUGCCCCUAGAAGACCUCACCUGCUCCUGAUACCUGAAAUGCAUUAGCCUGGGAAAACCCUGUAAUGGAAAGCCUUAUUUUAUUGGGGAUUUUUGUCUAUGUUAUUUAAUGUUAAUUCAGUGGUAAAGGUGGGCAGGAGUUAGCUACUGCUGAUUGGCUAUGUGUCACCAUGGUAAUGUAGCUGCUUCUGUAGAAAUGUGGCUGUUUCGAGGUUAGCAAGAAGGGGGCGGAGCUAGCUGGAUGAAAAAGGAGGGAAUGUUUUAAAAAGAGUUCAGUUAUUGAAGUUCUCUAGCCGGUGAGCUAGGAAGAAGACGUCUGGAGUCAGUUAUGUUCAGGUUCUAACGAGAGAGCUAGAAAUAAGUUGUCUGAAGAGAAACAUAAAAAAAGGAAAGUAUGGUAUAUAGUAUGUAAGUACUGUAGGUGAUGUAAUAUUAUCUUCUAUAUAAACAACUUUUAGUGGCACUUGUUAUACAAGCUGCAAACGAAGGGAAUUAUGGAGUCGUAUUUAACAUCAAUAUAAACUGGGUUUGGCUAGAAACAGUGGUAGAUCAUAGCCCCGUCCCUAUGGAAUCUCUUACGUUUAGUAGUAGUAUAUAUUGCAAUGAAUAUUUUACUCAAGGUAUCCACUAUUUGUAUUCUCAUUCACUACAUUAGUGUAGUUCUUAACACAAAGGAAUACACUCAGCAACACUUAAAAGCACUGUUUCUAGCCAAACCCAGUUUAUAUUGAUGUUAAAUACGACACCAUAAUUCCCUUCGUUUGCAGCUUGUAUAACAAGUGCCACUAAAAGUUGUUUAUAUAGAAGAUAAUAUUACAUCACCUACAGUACUUACAUACUAUAUACCAUACUUUCCUUUUUUUAUGUUUCUCUGUAGAUUAUAGACACCUGCGUUUUUGAGUUGAUAAGUUGUCUGAAGUCAGUUAGGUUUAGAUUUCCAGCAAGAUAGAGCCGAGGAAAAGGAAUACUGUUGAGACAAAGUUUCAGUCAAGUGGUAGAUGUUAAAGAAUGAAAGAUAUUAUCUAUAUUAUGUAUAAAUGAAACUGAAGAAGUAAAUCUUUGCAACAAGUUACGCUUUUUGGACUAAAGAAACCAUAAAUAAAUAAUUCUUUGUUUUUAAUAAAGAUGGUGUUCCUGAGUGGUGAAUUGCUCUACCUAGA